UUUUUUAAACAUAAGAACAGUUCAAUGCCGUAAAAAUUGACUGCUGGCUUAUAAAUAGGUACAAUUACUUUCUCCACCCACUUCUUAACACACACGUGCUACCUAGGAGAUUUAUUAAUAGCUGGAUAAGCAAGCUAUAAGGGGAGAACGGAAGCAACCACCUGCGGCACUGCCACACGCUCAGGGUAAGGCCACAGGGAAACAAGGCCUGUGCUGCUCACCUCUGUAGGGCCCUCCUUUCCCUUCCCUUUUUGCAGGGCAGGAACAGGAAGAGAGAGAGGCUGAGAGGAGCCCUGUUUCCACACAGUACCCAGGAACGAUUUCAAUACAAACCCGCUUUUUUCUUAACUCGUUUCCAUUUGCACAUCCAACUAAAAGCAAACUUGCAGGGAACCGUAGCUAGUCCCCCUCACACGCACAAAAGAACUGAUUUUGAAGUUAUAUUUAUUAACUGGAACAAGAGUGCAAACAGAGGAAUUUUGAAGCCUACUUCCUUUCCCCUCCCCCAGCAGUCCUGUUUGUUUCCUGGGGUUAAUAAAGCUGAGAGGGAGACAGAGCAGGGCCGUUCCUAAUGCAGGCACCCAGAAUGCCCUUUAAAGGGCAGGAGGGGAACAACCACCAAGGUUAAAGUAUGCAAGGACCAGGAUCCAAAGAAAACAUUUUUGCGAGGGCCGAGGCAUGCCGAGGUGCCAGCUGCAGACAGCAAGGGGCAGCCCUCAGCUCGGGCAGCUGGUCACACAGCUUUGGGAAAUCACCUUUCCUACAGUUUUCCCCAUUUGUUCAGACAUUUGCCUGGCUCAGCAAAAUCAGCAGGCAGCGAUUCGGUUUUGAAACAUCGGUCACCCGCGCAACAAAAGUAUCCGCUGUGACAGAUCAGGACCUCUCCGCACAAAGCAAAAGAAACAACAUAAGGAAGCUCACGAGCCCCACAUGGAGCAGCUGGGAGAGCAUUUGAGGAGCUAUCGACACAAAUGUACCUUCUUAGCCUUCACUACUGCACCUCUGCUUAUGUUUUCACUGUCAGCCACUAAAUGAACUGGAUACUAAAUGGAUCUUUGAUCAUUCAGAGCCAGUGUUGUAUUUUCCAGCUGAUGAUUAAAGGCUGAUGCACAUAUUCCAAA